rnacentral:rRNA from 1 species
UACGUAGGGGGCAAGCGUUGUCCGGAAUGAUUGGGGGUAAAGGGCGCGUAGGCGGCCCGGUAAGUCUGAAGUGAAAGUCCUGCUUUUAAGGUUGGAAUUGCUUUGGAUACUGUCGGGCUUGAGUGCAGGAGAGGUAAGUGGAAUUCCCAGUGUAGCGGUGAAAUGCGUAGAGAUUGGGAGGAACACCAGUGGCGAAGGCGACUUACUGGACUGUAACUGACGCUGAGGCGCGAAAGCUAGGGGAGCGAAC